UCAAAACUUAUGGAAGAAGAAACUCGUGAACCGAAACCUCCACAGGAACCAGUGUCAGGGUAGAAGUAGACCCUCGUGGGAAGCCAGGUUGUAAUGAGGAGUUGCUGUUGAAUAUGGAAUCAAGAUUAAGCACACAAAACGAUUGAAGUUUUAAUGGCAUCUAGCAAAAAUUACCAGAAUACUCAAGAUGUCAACUUGUGUGCUAUUUUGAUUCAAGAUUCCAUGUGGUUAGCUCUCAUACUGGGUUCAAGUACACUGCCUGAUUGAACCAUCCUCUUCUAACUCAGAAAUGGGAACAUGAGUAAAA